UGUGCAAUGGGUUUGCGUGGGUAUGCCAGCAUCUCAUUCCAGUGGUCUCUGCCGAGUCCCUCGGCUGCGCACCCGACACGGUUCACUCCAAUGAUCUCGUUAUGACCCACCCUGGAAAAGAAAGGAAAGUAUAAACAGGCUUCAGGACAAUUCCAAGCACUAGGUUUUCAUCUAGAAAUCAAACUUGAGGAAGAGGAGCUGAGGAGCUAAGGAGAUGGAUCAGGUGUGUCAGCGUUAAGGAUUUUUCUCUUUUAGGUCACACCAAGUGAAACAGAGCAGACAAAUUUGUAAGGACUUCAG